rnacentral:lncRNA from 1 species
CAUGUGGACACAGCCACCAGUUGCUAAAACGGAUCCUUGGAAGCUUUCAAGUUUCUUGAAGAAUCCAAAUAAAGACUUAGGGUGACCAAGGACAAACAAAUACCACAGCGUUUAGGAACGAAGGCCGAGGAAUGGGAGGAAAUGUGUAUGGAGCAAUUUAAUAAGGUUUGGAUCACAAAUCCACCAUCCUUUCUUUGCUGCCAGCAUGUGGCAAUGGAUGAAAAGAGAAAAGGCACCAAAUGUCAGGAGAAAGAAGAAAAUCCCUUCCCAAACUGAAACUCGGGAACAGUCCUGGAGGUAUAGUCUCCAAUUGCCAGGGUCAGACUACAAUGGUGAGUGAGCCCAUCCUCCCUAAGAAAAAGGAAGGCCAAUGGAAAGAAAUCAGUGCUUCUCAGUAAAGAUCUUCACAGUUAAUGCCAUGCAAGGCAGCAAGCUUUGGCACAGACGUGAACACCAGAUGAGGACUCUGGUGGCAUGGUCAAGGUGAAGUGUGUCUGACUUCCUGGCCUGCCCUCCCCAGACUAAUAAUCAGGAGGGGCCGCUCUUGAGCCCUCAAGAGCCUGUGUGAACACAGUGUCUCCUGGAGUGCUUGCGGCUUACAAGUAAUGGGAGAGUCUUUUUAUAACCGUUGUGGUUUCAUUUAAAAGGAAGCUCAGAAUCAGUGGUAAAGGGAGGGGAAGUUUGUGAGCUGCAGACCAUCUGAAAAGGGGGAAAUCAUAAAUACCAGAGUGUCUGAUUAUUUGAACGUCUCUUGAAGUCAAAUAAUGAACCUUCUUCAUGUUUGGCUUUCCUGGACUUGGCUCCCUCUGACAACUUUGCAGGCAUCAGGGUCUGUCUGGAAUUCAUUCCAAGUUGGAGGGAUAUUUUUUCCCUUGACAUUUUGCAGCUGAGACGGCCCCGAGGAGGAAGCUAAGGAGCGUAACAUUACCAAAUAUGUCCUUUCUCCUGCUUGUAUAUUUUAUUUCCACAGGAAAAGAAGGCAGAUGCAGGCCAAGGAGAGCUGGCCAAUAAGAAUGUGGCCACAGCAGGCAGCUUCUGGCAAUGGAGACAUUGAUCAGACGCCAUGGUUCUCAAGAAAGGAAAUGUCUUCAAAAGGUCGUCUUCGCAAAUCUCACAGUACAUCAAGCCCAGCUGUUGUGUGGCUCUUCACUUCAGUCUCCUUCUGCUCACCUCAUCCCAACCUACUGGGUAAGUGUGACUGUGUCCUUCUCCAAGGUGCAGUAACAAGGUACCCAAUAUGACCCAGCUUGAGGAAGAACACCUUGUUUUAAUGUGUGACCAUCUCAGAACAGCUUCCCCUACCUGUUCUGAUGAAGCAUAUGACAAAAGGCACCCUGAAAGAGUGUGAGAGACACUGGCCUCUUGGGAGCUGGAUUCGGAACCCAGUGGAGCCUCUGUUUGGACUGGCCUACUCAGUCUGGUUGUUGAGACACAGUCCUCAGGACUCUGCCUUCAUUCUGGUGCUACUGACUUCUUUUACAUCAGUGUGAACUGUAACACAAAGCCAUGAAUGCAUCCUCCAACUCCAAUACAAAGAAUUUUCCUCCUUUUUGGGCCCAAGAAUCUGAAAGUCUCUCUACACCACAACUUCUCAGUUGUUCUAUUUAAGGUGGUUGUUAUACAUAGCAAUCAUCAGUGCUGUCCUAAAACACAGACCUGGAUAAAAGUAGAGUAACAAUGACACUCUAGUUCCCAUUAU